rnacentral:lncRNA from 1 species
GACACCUCCAGCGCCCAUAGGAAGGGUAGUGCGCAAUUCAGUGCUAACCCAUACCAGGUGAAAAAACGUACACCCUCGCGCCUUCCCUGCCCGAAAAAAAGGGACUUGAAAUAUCCUAUAGAAGGGGGAAGGAGGGAGGAAAGAAAUAAGGCCCUACACAAAAGGUGGGGCCCAGUAAAUACUUGUUGGAAAGGAGUCAUUCUGGGAAAGUCACAAAGAUCCCCUCUAGGGCAAGUCCUACAGGGGGAAAAAAAAGAGAUCGUAUCGAGGCAGUUUGCUCCCACGGGAAGCAAACUAUUCACAGUCCCGUGUCCCGCAGCUCCCUGGCGCGAGCUCCUUCCACUCAAGCCCGGGCCCCCUUCCCGAACCCCUGUCCUCCCCGGGAUCGCGGCGGCUGCCCCCGGUGUACACUCUCCGCGCGGCCCUCAUCAGCCCCUCCUGAACAGGGAAACGUGCCACCUCGGAGCACAUCGCCCCACUUGGCUAAAGCUCUGGGGCCUGCCCUACGCGGAAAGAAGAGCCUCGUAUGCGGGCUUUUCGCCUCAGCCCUGCAACUAGACAUCCUGGGGUUGAAGCCCCGGCCUUAACAGACUGCUCUCUGCCUCGGAGCCCCAGAGGGCUGGCGCGGGGACCGCGCGGGGCGGCGGAAAACGCCCAACACCAGGCCGCGCGCCCAGUGUGGCGCCCGGGAAAUGAGAGCAGCGGUUCCCAGCCUGCCGAGCGGGGGCGGGUCCCUCCUCCUCCGCGCUCAAGGGCCGGGGCCCGGCCGGGGGCUCGGCCCGCUCAGCCAAUGGGCGGGCUGCGCUGUGUGGAUCCCGCUUCGGCUUUGGUCUCGAGACCCCGUCUGCGACUCGCUUGGCCUCCCUCUGCCUAGCGAGCUAGCUGCUGAGACCUGCGGCCCACUGUCUGAAUUCUCGCUUUGGUUACCUUUGAGCACUCCGACCGUCGCCUUUAUAGGACCCCAGCCAUUGGCUAGUGAAGCUGGGGGGGCGGGGCGGAGGGGUGGGCAGAGCCCGGGGGCGGGGACUGAGGCAUGUCCGGGGCGGGGUUCCCCGAGGAGGGGGCCCAGGUCGCCGUCCAGGCGAGUGAGGGGUGGGGAGGGAGGGCGCCCGCUGGGUACCCUGUUCUGGCUGCGGAUCUCCACUUCUCCCUGA